AUGGCUCAGAUUGAACGCUGGCGGCAGGCUUAACACAUGCAAGUCGAGCGGAAACGAUGGGAGCUUGCUCCCAGGCGUCGAGCGGCGGACGGGUGAGUAACACUUAGGAAUCUACCUAGUAGUGGGGGAUAGCUCGGGGAAACUCGAAUUAAUACCGCAUACGACCUACGGGAGAAAGGGGGCAGUUUACUGCUCUCGCUAUUAGAUGAGCCUAAGUCGGAUUAGCUAGAUGGUGGGGUAAAGGCCUACCAUGGCGACGAUCUGUAGCUGGUCUGAGAGGAUGAUCAGCCACACCGGGACUGAGACACGGCCCGGACUCCUACGGGAGGCAGCAGUGGGGAAUAUUGGACAAUGGGGGGAACCCUGAUCCAGCCAUGCCGCGUGUGUGAAGAAGGCCUUUUGGUUGUAAAGCACUUUAAGCAGUGAAGAAGACCUAACGGUUAAUACCCGUUAGCGAUGACAUUAGCUGCAGAAUAAGCACCGGCUAACUCUGUGCCAGCAGCCGCGGUAAUACAGAGGGUGCAAGCGUUAAUCGGAAUUACUGGGCGUAAAGCGAGCGUAGGUGGCUUGAUAAGUCAGAUGUGAAAUCCCCGGGCUUAACCUGGGAACUGCAUCUGAUACUGUUAAGCUAGAGUAGGUGAGAGGGAAGUAGAAUUCCAGGUGUAGCGGUGAAAUGCGUAGAGAUCUGGAGGAAUACCGAUGGCGAAGGCAGCUUCCUGGCAUCAUACUGACACUGAGGCUCGAAAGCGUGGGUAGCAAACAGGAUUAGAUACCCUGGUAGUCCACGCCGUAAACGAUGUCUACUAGUCGUUGGGUCCCUUGAGGACUUAGUGACGCAGCUAACGCAAUAAGUAGACCGCCU
rnacentral:rRNA from 1 species